rnacentral:rRNA from 1 species
AAUGAACGCUGGCGGCAUGCCUAAUACAUGCAAGUCGAGCGAACAGAUGAAGUGCUUGCACUUCUGACGUUAGCGGCGAACGGGUGAGUAACACGUAAGGAAUCUACCUAUAAGCGGGGGAUAACAUUCGGAAACGGGUGCUAAUACCGCAUAAUAUCUUCUUCCGCAUGGAAGAAGAUUGAAAGACGGCUCUGCUGUCACUUAUAGAUGACCUUGCGGUGCAUUAGUUAGUUGGUGGGGUAACGGCCUACCAAGACGAUGAGGCAUAGCCGACAUGAGGGGGUGAUCGGCCACAUUGGGACUGAGACACGGCCCAAACUCCUACGGGAGGCAGCAGUAGGGAAGCUUCCGCAAUGGGCGAAAGCCUGACGGAGCAAUGCCGCGUGAGUGAAGAAGGCCUUCGGGUCGUAAAACUCUGUUAUAAGAGAAGAACAAAUUGUAGAGUAACUGCUACAGUCUUGACGGUAUCUUAUCAGAAAGCCACGGCUAACUACGUGCCAGCAGCCGCAGUAA